CCAGGCUGGAGUGGAGGAGAGGAGCAGAUAUGAACUACUGAUUAGAACCGGUGGAGAAGGAAUUACAAGGAAGCUAAACUUUAAAAUAGAGAAUUAAAGAAU